UACGUAGGGUGCGAGCGUUGUCCGGAAUUAUUGGGCGUAAAGGGCUCGUAGGCGGUUUGUCGCGUCGGGAGUGAAAAUCCAGGGCUUAACUCUGGACUGGCUUCCGAUACGGGCAGACUAGAGGUAUGCAGGGGAGAACGGAAUUCCUGGUGUAGCGGUGAAAUGCGCAGAUAUCAGGAGGAACACCGGUGGCGAAGGCGGUUCUCUGGGCAUGACCUGACGCUGAGGAGCGAAAGUGUGGGGAGCGAACAGG
rnacentral:rRNA from 1 species